CUAACAGCUCUAUCUAUUAGACGCUUCUCAUCCAAUUUUCUCACAAACCCAAACCCCAACCCCGUGAAAAAUUCGAAGCCCCAAAACCCUCAUCCUUCCCGUGAAACCCCAACUUAGUACUUCUCUCUCUCUUGCUUGCGGUGUUUCCCCCUUCUUCAGCUCGCCGGAGUACAAUCCCCUUUAUCGGAGUUUCUUCCUCCUCUUCUUACUGCUCGCUGGUUGUGCUGUUCCAUCUCUCUUCUUCUUCGCGCGUUGGUUGGUUGUGGCUGGUGUUGCCGCGUUUGUUGCCAUUGUAAGCCGGUGAACCGCGGUUGUCGUGUUACUGUUGGUUGUGGUUGGUGGUGCUGUCGCCGAUUCGUUUUCCACUCCCUUGUUCUAGUUCGCUGCUGUUGUUGUUGCCUUGCGCUCGCUGACGUCACCGCCGACGGGUGUUGGUGGUUCGUAGAGUAUCAAAGUAUCCUAAAUGUUUCAGGUUAAUGUCGUGAAUAAUCUUUUUGGAGUUGAAGAUUUUAUGUUCCGGAAGAAUAAUUGUAAUGUUAUACGUGAUAACAAAGUGAGGACGCUUGACUUUGUAAUAGUUAGUUAUCAAUCUUUUGUUUUAAUUCUUUGUAUUUAAGAGUCGUUAGUGCUCCUGAUUCUUUGUUGGUUGUUACUCCGCAAAAGCGUUGAGGUUGAUGAGCUUUGGGAUUUGGAAAUAUUUUAUAAAUUGAAAUUGUAACAGAUUCAUAUUAUUUCUCGCUUUAGAGUUGUCCUAUUUUCAAAGGAAAAUUUGCCAGAUUUCUCUAGAAAUGUAUGAGCAUAGAGUUUGAGAAUCAGGGCAUUAUUGUAAUAGUGAAUUAAUUUGGAUAGAUUGGGAAUUGAGUUCCCCACUCUCCAAUGUAGUUUAGUGAGUGUGAUGGUAAUAGUUUUGGUUAUCUUGA